CAUUGUCAUUCCCAUUAUUCCUGCCAUUGUCAUUCCCAUUAACAUUGCCAUUAUUCCCAUUGUCAUUCCCAUUGUUAUUCCCAUUGUUAUUCCCAUUAUCAUUCCCAUCAUUCCCAAUGUCGUUCCCAUUGUUAUUCCCAUUAUUCCCAUUGUUAUUCCCAUUAUCAUUCCCAUUAUUCCCAUUAUUCCCAUUGUUAUUCCCAUUGUUAUUCCCAUUAUCAUUCCCAUCAUUCCCAUUGCUAUUCCCAUUAUUAUUCCCAUUCCCAUUAAUUCCCAUUAUUCCCAUUGUUAUUCCCAUUCCCAUUAUCAUUCCCAUUAUUCCUAUUGCUAUCCCCAUUAUCAUUCCCAUUAUUCCUGCCAUUGUCAUUCCCAUUAACAUUCCCAUUAACAUUCCCAUUAUCACUCCCAUUAUUCCCAUCGUUAUUCCCAUUAUCAUUCCCAUUAUUCCCAUUAUUCCUGCCAUUGUUAUUCCCAUUGUCAUUCCCAUUAUUGCCAUUGUCAUUCCCAUUGUCAUUCCCAUUGUCAUUCCCAUCAUUCCCAUUGUCAUUCCCAUUGUUAUUCCCAUUGUCAUUCCCAUCAUUCCCAAUGUUAUUCCCAUCAUUCCCAUUGUCAUUCCCAUUGUCAUUCCCAUUGUUAUUCCCAUUAUCAUUCCCAUCAUUCCCAUUGUUAUUCCCAUUAACAUUCCCAUUAUUCCCAUUGUUAUUCCCAUUAUCAUUCCCAUUAUUCCCAUUAUUCCUGCCAUUGUUAUUCCCAUUGUUAUUCCCAUUAACAUUCCCAUUCCCAUUAAUUCCCAUUAUUCCCAUUAUUCUUGCCAUUAUCAUUCCCAUUAUCACUCUCAUUAUCAUUCCCAAUGUCAUUCCCAUAAUUCCCAUUGUCAUUCCCGUUGUUAUUCCCAUUGUCAUUCCCAUUAUCAUUCCCAUUAUUCCCAUUAUUCCUACCAUUGUUAUUCCCAUUAUCAUUCCCGUUAUUCCCAUUGUCAUUCCCAUUAACAUUCCCAUUAUUCCCAUUGUUAUUCCCAUUAUCAUUCCCAUUAUCAUUCCCAUUACUCCCAUUAUUCCUGCCAUUAUCAUUCCCAUUAUCAUUCCCAUUAUUCCCAUUGUCAUUCCCAUUUUUCCCAUUGUUAUUCCCAUUGUCAUUCCCAUUAUUCCCAUUGCUAUUCCCAUUAUUCCCAUUAUCAUUCCCAUUGCCAUUCCCAUUAUUCCCAUUAUCAUUCCCAUUAUCAUUCCCAUUAUCAUUCCCAUUAUUCCCAUUGUCAUUCCCAUUAUUCCCAGUGUUAUUCCCAUUACCAUUCCCAUUACCAUUCCCAUUACCAUUCCCAUUAUCAUUCCCAUUAUCAUUCCCAUCAUUCCCACCAUUGUCAUUCCCGUUGUAUAUCCCGUUCCCGUGGUAUAUGGGGUCGAUAUCCCACCGCUGUUGUUGUUUCCCG
rnacentral:lncRNA from 1 species